AAACUUAAAUGAAUUGACGGGGGCCCGCACAAGCAGUGGAGUAUGUGGUUUAAUUCGAAGCAACGCGAAAAACCUUACCAGGUCUUGACAUCCAACGACCGCCUAAGAGAUUAGGCUUUCCUUCGGGACGUUGAGACAGGUGGUGCAUGGUUGUCGUCAGCUCGUGUCGUGAGAUGUUGGGUUAAGUCCCGCAACGAGCGCAACCCUUAUUACUAGUUACUACGCAAGAGGACUCUAGUGAGACUGCCGUUGACAAAACGGAGGAAGGUGGGGAUGACGUCAAAUCAUCAUGCCCUUUAUGACCUGGGCUACACACGUACUACAAUGGCUAUUAACAGAGAGAAGCGAGACCGCAAGGUGGAGCAAACCUCAGAAAAAUAGUCUCAGUUCGGAUUGGGGGCUGCAACCCGCCCCCAUGAAGCCGGAAUUGCUAGUAAUCGCGGAUCAGCAUGCCGCGGUGAAUACGUUCCCGGGCCUUGUACACACCGCCCGUCACACCAUGAGAGCCGGGGGGACCCGAAGUCGGUAGUCUAACCGCAAGGAAGACGCCGCCGAAGGUAAAAACUGGUGAUUGGGGUGAAGUCGUAACAAGGUAGCCGUAUCGGAAGGUGCGGCUGGAUCACCUCCUUUAUG
rnacentral:rRNA from 1 species